CGUGAGUGAUGAAGGCCUUCGGGUCGUAAAGCUCUGUCAGAGGGGAAGAACACCCUGUCGAUUAAUACCCGGCAGGUCUGACGGUACCCUCAAAGGAAGCACCGGCUAACUCCGUGCCAGCAGCCGCGGUAAUACGGAGGGUGCGAGCGUUGUUCGAAAUUAUUGGGCGUAAAGCGCGUGUAGGCGGUUGUUUAAGUCUGAUGUGAAAGCCCCGAGCUUAACUUGGGAAGUGCAUUGGAAACUGGGCAACUUGAGUACGGGAGAGGGAAGUGGAAUUUCGAGUGUAGGGGUGAAAUCCGUAGAUAUUCGAAGGAACACCGGUGGCGAAGGCGGCUUCCUGGACCGAUACUGACGCUGAGACGCGAAAGCGUGGGGAGCAAACAGGAUUAGAUACCCUGGUAGUCCACGCCGUAAACGAUGGGCACUAGGUGUCGCGGGUAUUGACCCCUGCGGUGCCGAAGCUAACGCAUUAA
rnacentral:rRNA from 1 species